rnacentral:tRNA from 15 species
GCCGGGGUGGCGGAACUGGCAGACGCACAGGACUUAAAAUCCUGCGGUGGUCAAACACCGUAUCGGUUCGAUUCCGAUUCUCGGCACCA